rnacentral:lncRNA from 1 species
AAGAGACAGGAGUCCCUGGCUGCUCCCACGUUAAGCUGACUCCGCGUCUCGUCAUUCAUCCUCCUUCACAGCGUCAAGGAGGAACAAAGGAUCAAGUUGAGGUCUUGGAGCAAGGCCAGCCAGGAAAUAUGAAGGAGAGGAGAAUAGGGCUCAUCUUUGUCUUCUCAGUAGAAUGGUGACCAGCAAAGUCCAAGGAUGCUUUCAUGUGCAUA